UACGGGGGGGGCAAGCGUUGUUCGGAAUUACUGGGCGUAAAGGGCUCGUAGGCGGCCAACUAAGUCAAACGUGAAAUCCCUCGGCUUAACCGGGGAACUGCGUCUGAUACUGGAUGGCUUGAGUUUGGGAGAGGGAUGCGGAAUUCCAGGUGUAGCGGUGAAAUGCGUAGAUAUCUGGAGGAACACCGGUGGCGAAGGCGGCAUCCUGGACCGGCAUUGACGCUGAUGAGCGAAAGCUAGGGGAGCAAACGGG
rnacentral:rRNA from 1 species